GCAGUCGUGACCGAGUGGCUAAGGCGAUGAACUAAAAAUCCAUUGGGGUCUCCCCGCACAGGUUCAAAUCCUGUUGACUGCG
rfam:Ixodes scapularis strain Wikel colony gcontig_1107729091874, whole genome shotgun sequence.